rnacentral:tRNA from 1 species
GGGGAUGUAGCUCAGAUGCUAGAGCGCUCGCUUAGCAUGCGAGAGAUAUGGGGAUCGAUACCGCACUUCUCCA